rnacentral:tRNA from 4 species
GCCGGAUUGGCGGAAUCGGUAGACGCAGCGCACUCAAAAUGCGCCGCCUUCGGGUGUGAGGGUUCGAGUCCCUCAUCCGGCA